rnacentral:rRNA from 1 species
GGAGUCUGGACCGUGUCUCAGUUCCAAUGUGACCGUUCAUCCUCUCAGACCGGUUACCGAUCGUCGGCUUGGUAAGCCGUUACCUUACCAACUACCUAAUCGGACGCAGGCUCCUCGCAAAGCGAUAAAUCUUUAAUACAAAUAUCAUGCGUACUUGUAUAACAUUCGGUAUUAGCAACCCUUUCGAGCUGUUGUCCCCAACUUUGCGGCAGAUUGCCUACGCGUUACUCACCCGUUUGCCACUGGGUAUUGCUACCCCGUUCGACUUGCAUGUGUUAAGCACGCCGCCAGCGUUCGUC